rnacentral:rRNA from 1 species
AGUCGAGCGGAACGAAGAGGAGCUUGCUCCUUUGGCGUCGAGCGGCGGACGGGUGAGUAAUGCUUGGGAACAUGCCUUGAGGUGGGGGACAACCGUUGGAAACGACGGCUAAUACCGCAUAAUCUCUACGGAGCAAAGGGGGCUUUUAGCUCUCGCCUUUAGAUUGGCCCAAGUGGGAUUAGCUAGUUGGUAAGGUAAUGGCUUACCAAGGCGACGAUCCCUAGCUGGUUUGAAAGGAUGAUCAGCCACACUGGAACUGAGACACGGUCCAGACUCCUACGGGAGGCAGCAGUGGGGAAUAUUGCACAAUGGGGGAAACCCUGAUGCAGCCAUGCCGCGUGUGUGAAGAAGGCCUUCGGGUUGUAAAGCACUUUCAGCAAGGAGGAAAGGUUAUAGUUAAUACCUGCUAGCUGUGACGUUACUUGCAGAAGAAGCACCGGCUAACUCCGUGCCAGCAGCCGCGGUAAUACGGAGGGUACGAGCGUUAAUCGGAAUUACUGGGCGUAAAGCGUACGCAGGCGGUUUGUUAAGCGAGAUGUGAAAGCCCCGGGCUCAACCUGGGAACUGCAUUUCGAACUGCAAACUAGAGUGUGAUACAGGUGGUAGAAUUUCAGGUGUAGCGGUGAAAUGCGUGAGAUCUGAGAAUACCGAUGGCAAAGCAGCCACCUGGGUCAACACUGACGCUCAUGUACUAAAGCGUGGGGAG